CAGCCGCCGCGGGAAUACGUAGGGUGCGAGCGUUAAUCGGAAUUACUGGGCGUAAAGCGUGCGUAGGUGGUGGUUUAAGUCCGUUGUGAAAGCCCUGAGCUCAACCUGGGAAUUGCAGUGGAUACUGGGUCACUAGAGUGUGGUAGAGGAUAGUGGAAUUUCCGGUGUAGCAGUGAAAUGCGUAGAGAUCGGAAGGAACAUCUGUGGCGAAGGCGACUAUCUGGGCCAACACUGACACUGAGGCACGAAAGCGUGGGGAGCAAACAGGAUUAGAUACCCCUGUAGUCCCUGUCUCUUAUAC
rnacentral:rRNA from 1 species